GCCGGUUCUCCAGAAUUGGUCAGAACCUGCUGAAUACUACCUCUGAUCUAAAUGGCUUUAGGUAGUCAGCUAUUUUUCCCAGCACUGUUGAAGAAACAGAUGUCAAUGAUUAUUAAUGGACUCUUACAAAGUUAAAAAUAUUGGCAUGUUCUUGCUCUUAAAAACCAUUUCGUGAGCAAGUGCAUUAGUUUUUGAUAUGCACUCUCCUUAUUGAGAGGGCCACCUUGGCUUCAGGAAACCAAACAUCAUUGGAAUGUAUAAUUCCAUUUGCCUUUGACCUUUGCUAGUGUCCUUACCUUGUUCUCACUUUCCUAAUUUUGUGUUGGGAAGUGUAUACCCUCAUUGUAGAUCUGCAACUGAUAAAUGUGUUUAAUAAAACGUUGAUUUGUUAUUUUCAGAAUGGCUCUCUGAUUCUUUGUAACAAUAGAAAUGAUAAGGAAGUGGAGCAGAGGGCACUGAUAAUAUAUUGCCUCCUGACUCACAGGCAAAAUACUUUAAAAGCAACCCUGAAGGAGAAGUAGUUAAUGAGGUUAUUGUCCUUAUAGACGGCUUAUAAUUUUUCUGGAUGCAUCAGAUUAGCCGCUGGGCUUAAUGGCCAUUCGCUUUGAUUCAACAAAACUGCCUUUAUUUCCUUAAGCUAUGAUGUCUUGGAUAAACACAAACAUAAAUAUGAGUAAUCUUCAAUAAUGGCCACGAGUUGUACAGAUCAUAAAGCAGGUCACCAUGUGACCAUACCUAAUUUUAUGAUCUUUUUGAAGUAGUCAUUAAGCAAGUCCAUUGUAUCAAUUGGAUUUUUUCUGCUGGAAGCCAAAAGUUAAGUGUAUAUUUCUGGCCAAAAAAAACAAACAAAAAAGGUGUAAAUUUUGAUCAUUUGACUACAGGAUGCUGCAAAUGGCCAUAAAUGCAGGCCGGUUGCCAAAUGCCCAAAUGUGACCAUGUGACCACUGAAGAUGGCAGCCAUUGUUAACUUUGAAACCAGGUUGUAAGUAGUUCUGGGGAGGUGAUGUAACUUUGAAUGGUUGCUAAGCAACUGGUUGAAAGUUGAGAACUACCUGUACCUCAAAGCAGAAGAUUCAUCGUAAAGGAGGGCUUAAUUUUCAAAUCCUACGGGGUAUUUAACACUAGGUUUUUAUUUCAGUUCAUCAGCAACUUGGAGCACCAAACCAGUUUCAUCUCAGUAUAUGAGAACUGGAACCCAAAUGCCAUUCUCCAUCAUCAUUCUCAUUUAUCAGCCCAAAUCAGCCAUCUUCCUUUUCAACUGUUUCCCAAUUGCUUUUAUGUACUGCAGAUCCAUUUCCACUUAACACCUUUGAACUGAUUACAUCAUCUGCCCACCAUUUCUUGAGGUGUUUUCUAGGUCUUUUAAGGUCAAUUGGUAUCAAACCAAGGAUUAUUGCUGCCCAAUAUGGAACUGUUCAUUGUGCAAUACACAG